rnacentral:rRNA from 1 species
AAGGAAUUUUGCACAAUGGGCGAAAGCCUGAUGCAGCAACGCCGCGUGAUUGAUGAAGUUUUUAGGAAUGUAAAAAUCUGUCGUAAGGGAAGAAAUGUUUCAGAUGUUAAUACCAUCUGUUAUUGACGGUACCUUACAAGAAAGCACCGGCUAACUUCGUGCCAGCAGCCGCGGUAAUACGAGGGGUGCUAGCGUUGUCCGGAUUUACUGGGCGUAAAGGGUACGUAGGCGUUUUAACAAGUUAUGUGUUAAAUACUUUAGCUUAACUAAAGAACUGCACAUAAAACUGUUAGAAUAGAGUUUGAGAGAGGAACGCAGAAUUCAUGGUGGAGCGGUGACAUGCGUAGAUAUCAUGAGGAAAGUCAAAUGCGAAGGCAGCCUUCUGGCUCAAAACUGACGCUGAGGUACGAAAGCGUGGGGAGCGAACAGG